GAUUACGAAAUAAUUCUCAAACAAGUGACAAAUAUAGCCUUUGUAAAACUGUUUAUAAAAUUGUCCAGAAUUGUAAAGGAACAAAAGCAAGGAAGAGAAAAAGAAGGUUUUUCAAACCUUCCUACCAUUGAAAUGCUGCAUGAAAAAAUGCAAAGAAAGCUGAAUUGAAAAAAAGGAAUUGAGCGUAGACAACAAGAACUGUAAUUAAACUGAAAGAAAUUUAAUUUGGAGUCUGAUCAAAGAAGGGAAAUAUUCAAACUUGAGAAGGAAGAGAGAAAGACAUUUUUAGAAAUUCACAAAAAGCACAUUAGGCUUGUUAUAAUUAAGUUUCCUUGUACAUUAAUAGUUUUUUCAAUGUAAUGAUAAUCUCAUGCAUAUGAUGAUGCAGCAUUAAGCUGAGUCCGUCUUGUAGUUAUGUUCUUGAGCAAAUAAUAAAAAAACAAAAAUGUUUAUAUUUUAGAUA